UACAGAGGAUGCAAGCGUUAUCCGGAAUGAUUGGGCGUAAAGCGUCUGUAGGUGGCUUUUUAAGUCCGCCGUCAAAUCCCAGGGCUCAACUCUGGACAGGCGGUGGAAACUACCAAGCUGGAGUACGGUAGGGGCAGAGGGAAUUUCCGGUGGAGCGGUGAAAUGCGUAGAGAUCGGAAGGAACGCCAGUGGUGAAGACGACUACCUGGACCAAUACUGACACUGAGGCGCGAAAGCGUGGGGAGCAAACAGG
rnacentral:rRNA from 1 species